rnacentral:rRNA from 1 species
GACGAACGCUGGCGGCGUGCUUAACACAUGCAAGUCGAACGGAAAGGCCCUGCUUUUGUGGGGUGCUCGAGUGGCGAACGGGUGAGUAACACGUGAGUAACCUGCCCUUGACUUUGGGAUAACUUCAGGAAACUGGGGCUAAUACCGGAUAGGAGCUCCUGCUGCAUGGUGGGGGUUGGAAAGUUUCGGCGGUUGGGGAUGGACUCGCGGCUUAUCAACUUGUUGGUGGGGUAGUGGCUUACCAAGGCUUUGACGGGUAGCCGGCCUGAGAGGGUGACCGGCCACAUUGGGACUGAGAUACGGCCCAGACUCCUACGGGAGGCAGCAGUGGGGAAUAUUGCACAAUGGGCGGAAGCCUGAUGCAGCAACGCCGCGUGCGGGAUGACGGCCUUCGGGGUGUAAACCGCUUUCGCCUGUGACGAAGCGUGAGUGACGGUAAUGGGUAAAGAAGCACCGGCUAACUACGUG